AUUAUAUUAUAAUUUGAAGUAGGAUGGUCUUUUUUUCUUUGAAGAACUUGUUAGGAUUUGAUGCCUCGAGAUUCAGCCCACAUUGAGCCCACAGUGAGGUUCGCGGUGAAAAACGGAAUCCAACGAGACUAAGAUCUCCCGAAAUGGAGCUCAGAUGGAGGAGAUACGAGCUUUUGAAGUCGGCACGAGAUUCGAGGCGAUGGAGGACCGCCAGUGACCGGCGGCGGGCGGCAGCG
rnacentral:lncRNA from 1 species